AACGGUCUAUACCUGCGGUACCUGCGGAAGGAUCAUUAUAGAGUGGUAAACCCCCCGUAAAAGGGGGGGACCUCCUGUCCUUUGUAGGCUCUUUUUUAAAAGGGCUUUUUUUAAUUUUCUGCUUCGGUGGGGUUAUCCCACCGGAACAACCUCAAAACUCUUAUCAAAAAAUCGUUCUGUCUGAGAACCUUUUAUAAUAAAAAAAAACUUUCAGCAAUGGAUCUCUAGAUCGGAAGAGCA
rnacentral:misc_RNA from 1 species